UAUAGCAUCCAAGGUAGAUUACUGAAGGAUGUUCUUAGGAUGACUCCCUUUUCUGAUAACACCCAAGGCCAGAGGUACCUUCUGCUGAAACAUAUAUUAAAACUUUCUCCCAGGCAGAUCCAACUUACAUAGAUGCAAUUGGAAUUCCAAGAGGGGUACCUGAUGAAGACAAAUUAGUAGAUCAAGUAGCAGCAAGGUUUGAAUCUACAAUCUGUUGGUGGUGUACAACCAAUAAAAACGUAGACCGAAUAAACUACAUCCACUACAAUGUACAGCGUUAGGAAACUGGACACAAGACGGUUUUGAGGCCGUACAUGAACAACUGGCUGCCACAUCUUUAAUGUAAUUUCAGAACGGAAUUGCACUAGAUAUGUUGCUUGCGGAGAGAGGAGAUGUGUGUGCCAUGUUUGGAGCACUGUGCUGUACACACCGCUGCAGAUGGCAGCCUGACCAGGGCCAUUGAUGGCCUGCGCACCCUCAACCGCAAGAUGAAAGAGCAUUCUGGCGUGGACAUCCAUGUGGAACGAAUGGAUGAAAGUGUUUGGCAAGUAUAAGAUGUUGGCCUCAUCAAUUUUAAUAUCAAUAGCAGUAUUUGCUGCAAUACUGACAUUGUGUGGAUGUUGCUGUAUUCCAUGUUUACGAGCAAUUCUGAAUAGAUGAAUCACCACCGCAAUCCAACCUAUGAGCAAUCGUGCAGAACAAAUGUACCCCCUUCUAACAAAAUAGAACCAGGAUAGUUCUGAUGACGAUGAUGAUAAAGAAAUGGAGAUCGGGACAUUAUUUGAUUCAACUCAGGAGAUCAAAUAAAGCAUUUCAUGUCUUGUGUUCAUGAUAAUGAUCUUACAGCCAAAAAUCAGAAGAAGCGGCUGCUAAAUAAGUGAUGUGAAACAUAAGCAAAAACAUGAUAAACAGGAGGGAAAUGAGGGAAAAAUGUAAAUAAGUUAUCAUGUGUUGUGCUUUUCUGCUUACUUCUAGUGAGAGAAAUGUUUUAUCACUGCGUGCAAAGUUUUCUCCCACAGGAUGAGUCAUGUCCUUGCAGGCGCAAGGACAAAUUUGAGCCGAGGAGUUUCCUGUGUCUUGAUAAGAAGUAUAUAAUUCUUCUACUGUCUCAACCACAACAAAGAGUGUUAUGUGCUGAUCAACAAGCAUGUAUGCCCCCACCUUUUUGACGUAACUCAUAUGUAACAAGGGAACUGCCCUAAAGUAAUAAAGAGAGAGAAUCUGGCAGAGUGAACUCAGAAAAUGGUUGGAGACUGUAACUAGGUACACUUUGGCCGUUUUCUCCUUGCAAGUCUGAAAACUGAACUCUCUCUGUGUCUGUCUUGAUUUUUUACAAGUGUUUUAGGUGUCUUGAACCUGACAGCCGGCCUACAAAAAUUACCCCAAGAGAACAGCAAAGACUCAUCCAGGAGGGCACAAAGGAACCCAGGACAACUUCUAAAGAACUGCAGGCCUCCCUUGCCUCAGUUCAGAAGUGGGAUUCCAGAUGGUAGCCACAAUUCAGGAGAUUGAAGGAAGGGACCGAAGAUGGAUCCUCUUGACGAGAGGAGUGAGCCUCAACUACGAGACCACUUCCCGGGAGCCACGUCCCAAAAGUGGCAAGCUCUUCCCGGAAGUACACUAUAUUGCCAAAGCCCUUGAAGGAUGCCCACGUCCAGGUUGCUGACAGCCCCACCGUGUCAACUGCGGCACAGAGCAUGGGAGGACAUUGACCCAGCACAGUUCCAGCAGGAACAGAAGGAUGACCCUGUCCUUGACUGUGUCCAAGGAUAGAUUGAAGCAGGCCAACGACCUGCAUGGUCAGCUGUUUCCAUGCUAGACUUGGAGAUGAAGGCCCUGUACUCC